AACACGGACCAAGGAGUCUAGAAUGCGCGCGAGUCAAAGGGUUGGCUAAACCCCAAGGCGAAACGAAAGUGAUACACGUAUAUUAUACGUACGCAGGGCCGAUCCGGUCCGCGCGGGAGCGAACGGGCUUAGGGCUGGUCGCGACGGGGUGGCGGUGGGUUUUCUUCCGCCUCCUUCGCGCGCGACUUCCUCCUUCCCGACUCUUCCUCCCCGCGGUUCGUCUCGUUUCGAUACAGAGUGUGAGGACGGCGCAGGCCCGGGGCUCGCCAAAGCUUCCUCCCCGCCGUUAAGGCUCUGUCGUCCGUUUUUCUCGUUCGACGAGGCGCGGUGAGGCUCUUUAUGGGGGUCCCUCUUCGGUCGUCUCCUUCUCUCUAUCCACGUUUCCCCGGUAGGGGGGGCGCGGGUGUCGUCGGGGUCGGACGAUUUGGGUAGCUCUCUCGAGGGUCCCCGCGUGAUUUUCUCGCGUUCGAGGCGGCGGCUAGCCGGCGCGGGACGGGCGGCGGGUUCUCCGAGCGCGUAUUCUGGUACCCGAAAGAUGGUGAUCUAUGCCUGGCCAGGAUGAAGCCAGAGGAAACUCUGGUGGAGGUCCGUAGCGAU
rnacentral:rRNA from 1 species